ensembl:lncRNA
UCAGAAUCAGAAGUUCCGAUUUUAACAACUCGUCAAGCUCCUACUGUACUGAAAGAACCAGAAGCUGCUGUGGCAAAGCCAAAACAAGCCACUAAAAAGAAAGAACCAGCUGCGCCAAAAGAAAAAGCCAAAGUUCCUGCAAAGAAGGAGCCCACAGUUACUAAAGCCAAAGUAAAACCUUCAGUGGCAAAGAAAGAGCGAUUGAUCACUAAAGAAAAGGCUAAACCUACCUCUACUAAGAAAGAGCCAGCAGUAACAAAGAAGGCAAAAGUAACAACAGCCUCACAUAAAGAAGAGAAAGCUGUAAAAGAAGUGAAGCCCAAAGCAGAGGUCAAGAAGAAGGCUCCACCAACACCGAAAGCCAAUCAAACCAUUAAAGAAGUUGUGGGAACACCUGUUCCAGAUGAGAAGAAAACAACUAAGGAAACCCAAGACAAACCAGCUGAGGCACCAGCACCAGCAAAAGAUCUGAAAGCGGAGGAAAAUGUCACAGAGGGGAAAAAGCCAGGCAAGAUACCAUACUUCCAGUGUGUUUUAAUGAGUUCUAAAUCCAGCCAAUAUCCACUGCGGCCCAUGUCCCCAGCUAUGAGUCCAGCUAUUAACCCCACCAUGAUGAGAGCCAUGAUGGAGCAGAGGGCUGCGUUACUGCUGCAGAAAGCCCGUGCAGAUGGCCAGUAACUGGACGACAGACCCCGUCCGGCCCUGCCAGGUGCAAACUGCUUAUGAACUUCUGUAAAAACACAGUGCUGCUAGGCUCUCAAGAGCUGUCCACCUUAACCAUCAGAGACUUUAACAAAUAAUGAGUGGAGAUCCCUGGUUUUUCAGUGGACACUCUCCAUUCUUUCAUAAGUGUUUUUCUAAUCUGAACAGUUUCACAAUUUUGACAAAAAAAGUAUAUGCAAUUACAUCAAAGAAACAUAAAUUAAUUAUAAUGUACAUUUUGGAAUAUAUUUAAUGCAUAAACACCUGUCAAAGCAAUGUUGUGUUACUGGGUAGAUUUACUUUUUUUAUGUACUUGAGAUCUUAAAUCGUCUGUUUACAUUUUUUUUUUUUGCAGGGAAGAUUCUGCUGUUUUUUUCUUAUUGUACAUAAGACUACUCAGCGGUGAAGCAAAUUUAGAACUGGUUAAAUAAUUUAAGUGUUGCUCUAAAUAUUCAUUUAGUUAUUUUUCUAUGUCAGAGUAUAUGAUCCCAUUACAGAGAGAAGUCUAACAGCACACAUUCACUGAAGGCCUUAUCUUUUGGCCCAGGCCAUUUCCUUUGACUCACUGGUAAUGAGAUUAUGUGUAGAGCGUUUGGGCUCUACCAGGGUCUGCGAUCUCUCUGCAUUUGUAUGCACAGCCAUUAGAAAGCAGGAGGACGCCAUUUGGACCGAAUCCGAUUUAUGUCUUAACCAGUGAAAAGAGCUUGCAUGCUUACAGACUUGAAAGAGUCAUUAAGAAGUGAAGGCACACCUACAGCCUCUAUAUAAUGAAAGGCUUGAAUUUUACUUGACUGAGACUUUUCUAGUAUCUCUUUAGUUAAGUGAAACCCCUUAUUGGAGGUUAUUAGAUUUAUGGUAGUGAAUUGAAUAGUGUAUGAAUAUGUACAAUGUAACUUUUCAUGUACAGGUAAAACCCAAAGCAAUUGUGCUACUUGUAUAAAGUUAAAGUAUACAGUAAAUACAGUGUUUGUCCGCCAUGCCAUAGUUUUCUCUGUUUUCCUAGAUCAGCGGUCUUCAACUUUUUUCAAACCACACCCUUCGUGGAUACACAGCUGCGUUUCAGGCCUGGCCUAAAAUAUAAUGCAAUUUUUUUGUUGGAAGAGCCAUUAAGUAAUUAUUACACAGCCCUAUGUCUUGGGGGGAAAACUCUGCUGAUCUGCAAAAAAGGCUAAUAUUACUGAAUUUUAUGAUGCUGAGUUCAUUUUCUGUCACUAUUUGGAUGUAGUAAAACCAAUAGAUGUAGCUGAAAACAUCUGAUCAUGUUUGCAUUUUUUUCUAUCACUGGUCAUAAUUCUAAUCUUGAAAUCAGGAUUAGGGAUAAAAUAAUGUCUUCAGAAUCAUUUAUACACGUGAAAACUGGCUCCACCAUGAUGAGAGCCAUGAUGGAGCAGAGGGCUGCGUUACUGCUGCAGAAAGCCCGUGCAGAUGGCCAGUAACUGGACGACAGACCCCGUCCGGCCCUGCCAGGUGCAAACUGCUUAUGAACUUCUGUAAAAACACAGUGCUGCUAGGCUCUCAAGAGCUGUCCACCUUAACCAUCAGAG